CUGCAGAUCUUUUCAAAUGAUACUAAUAGGAAUAUAGCACAAGGGAAGUGUGCAAGUUGCAUGUUGUACUGCUUGGUUCUUCAAACCACACAGAAAGAGCAAACUUUGCACUUCAAAGCAUUCCCAACCUAAAAGAAGCCCUGCCUCACAUUUGAAAAGAUGAUGUUAGUUUGCUGAGGAACGACAAGAUGAAGAUAGAGGUCAAUAUGCGAAUUUUCCAAUGCCAAUGCGACAUUCAGCCAUAUGGAUAAUGCAAACACCAUACCCAAAGGUAUAGUUUACAGGUGUCGUAUCAAUGUAUUGUUCAUUUUAUUCUUUGAAAAACUAGAGAGUAAAGCUGAAUGGGGAUCUCCUUGAAAUUGAUAAAUCUGUUUUCUUUAGUUUUCCUUGGAUUUAUGAUUUGAUUUUGCUAUUUUGGGGUAAGUGUGACUUGGGGGAAACAUUGUUAUCGCUCUGUUUGGUGUGUUUAAGUCUGUAUACCGUAUUUGAAAGCUGGUAGGGUAUAGGGUUUAACGUAUUUCAUUUCUGUAUGAGGUGUUAUGAGUGUUGUCAAAGUUAAUAAUUUUUUUUUCUCACUAAAGCAUGUCUAUGAAUGUAUAAUGCACAUUAUUCCGUAUGCUAAUUUGAAAGCUGGGUUUCGGUUGGGAAGGCAAGUUUCGGGGUUUCCUUGCAAAAACUUAUUGUGUUCAUGUAAGUCUGGUUUCGUUGCCAAAUUCUCUGUUUUGAAAUCAGUAAGGUUUAAGUUUAAUGCCUUCAUUGUGUUAACGUGCAAAAUCCUCUUUGCAAUGUAACUUGAAUUUCAUUACUGUAUAUGUAUUUUAUCAAUUGUUUGAGAUAAUGAUUUACAAUAUUUUAUCUGUUUCAUAGCUGUACACAGUGUUUAAGUUUUAAGUCUUAAUUUGGUCUCUAUGCAAAAUCCUUUCCCAGCAAGGUUAGUUGCGGAUUCAGUACAGUGUUGAAUUUUGAAAGCUGGUAGGUUCUAGGGUUUACGAAAUUUUAUUUUUUGGUUUUUUGCAAAGCCUGUUCCUGCAAUGUAUAUUGCAUAUUGGUGUUGUAUAUUCUAUUUGCAAACCUGAUAUGUCUUCUGGGAACUUCACCAAAACCAGUUCCAAGAAAAAUUAUUGGAUGUGGUAAGGAAGGCAAAUAACUAUGCUGUAAUUGCGCCACAGAUGGGAAAGCAGGUGGUUGCCUUUCAGGCAGCCAUGGAGAUCAUGGCGGAGCAGUUUCCUGAAGCUUUUUCGGGCUACAAACUCGAGUACCCUGUUGUGUCAUCCAUUCUUGGCGUCUUUCAUUGCCUACCACGAUAUUCUUAUUUCAGGUAAUUCAACUUUUUGGCCAUCUUGGGGUUGAUGCUCUGCACUCUAUCAUUGGCAUUUGGUCUUCUUCUUAGAGCUCCUCAGUACCAGCAAUUUCUCUUUCGACUCCAUCUAGAUUUGAAAGGUUUCUAAAGAAAAACAGGCAUCAACUUCUUAAGGGAAAUAAAUUUGACAUAGUUACUUAACUCUACAAUUGUAGAGUUAAACAAUAGAAGUAGCUUCUCUUCUAACACCUGCCAUAUCUGAAUGAUUUACACUUUACAUAGAAAGCAACAUCUUAAACUUUUUUAAUGACAAAUGAUUUUAACAUGGUAGUUAAAUGCUAUAAUGUAGCACUUUCACUUUUGUUGAUGAGAUGAAUUAUGUUUUUUGAGUAUUUGAAAUGCACACAAUGGAUCAUUUGGUGCUUAGAAGUUUCCCUUUUUCUUUGUAUGUGACGGUGUAUUAUAGGAUUUUGAACUGGGGCAUUGAAUAUGGUUCCACGUGUUGCAACAGCUGUAAUUUAUACACUGGAGUUUAAGUUUACUUCUGUGGUCAAUAUGGAUAAUUUUCUUGUUUA